rnacentral:rRNA from 1 species
UACGGAGGGUGCAAGCGUUGCUCGGAAUUAUUGGGCGUAAAGGGUAGGUAGGUGGUCUCGUUUGUCUGGGGUGAAAGCCUUGAGCUUAACUCAGGAAGUGCCUCAGAAACGGCGAGACUCGAGUAUUGGAGAGGGUCGUGGAAUUCCCGGUGUAGCGGUGAAAUGCGCAGAUAUCGGGAGGAACACCAGCGGCGAAGGCGGCACUCUGGGCUGGAACUGACGCUGAGGAGCGAAAGCGUGGGUAGCAAACAGG